rnacentral:rRNA from 1 species
GAUGAACGCUGGCGGCGUGCCUAAUACAUGCAAGUCGAGCGAACAGACGAGGAGCUUGCUCCUCUGACGUUAGCGGCGGACGGGUGAGUAACACGUGGAUAACCUACCUAUAAGACUGGGAUAACUUCGGGAAACCGGAGCUAAUACCGGAUAAUAUAUUGAACCGCAUGGUUCAAUAGUGAAAGACGGUUUUGCUGUCACUUAUAGAUGGAUCCGCGCCGCAUUAGCUAGUUGGUAAGGUAACGGCUUACCAAGGCGACGAUGCGUAGCCGACCUGAGAGCGUGAUCGGCCACACUGGAACUGAGACACGGUCCAGACUCCUACGGGAGGCAGCAGUAGGGAAUCUUCCGCAAUGGGCGAAAGCUUGACGGAGCAACGCCGCGUGAGUGAUGAAGGUCUUCGGAUCGUAAAACUCUGUUAUUAGGGAAGAACAAAUGUGUAAGUAACUAUGCACGUCUUGACGGUACCUAAUCAGAAAGCCACGGCUAACUACGUG